UAACAGGAAGUAUAUAUGCUUUUGGGAAAUGUCCAGAAGAAAGAGUAAAAUUGAGAAUUCGAGACACCGAUGGAACUGCUAAGAAAACAUUCUUGAGAUGACAGGAGUGGAGGAGAUACUGUGCACAGGUAGAGAGGGAGGCUGAACAGAAGAGAACCAAAGAGCUGCAGCUGAGCUUCCAGGAAUCAGGCAACACCAAGUGCAGCUGAACUUCCAGCCACGCCGCCGCACCUGCUGACCCCAUGCAGAGAGAGGAACCAACCCGUCCAUUGCAGAAUAAUGUAAAGGUAAGUGUUCAGAGGUAAGCAGCUCCCGCAGAAAUCCUUCAGUGGCGUUUCCCUGGAACGCAUCCAACUGCCUUCUCCUCUUCUGAGCACCAGCCUUUGGGUGGAGAGGAAUGCAGCAUUUCCUGAUUGAUUCACCAACGUCUACCCUCCUACCAGAAGCUGGGAAAGCAAAUAUCCUUUGUGGACACAACUUGUCAGUAGCUUUUUUUAAACACCUUGACCACAGGAGUUCUGGCAACUUUCUCACUUAAAAGUCUAGGAGCAAAGUGGCUCUAGAGAUGAGAAUGUAAUAGCUAGUCACCUUUGAUUUUGUUACUGACCUCAGGACUUCUUUCAUAUGAUAGUUUAUAUCACAGUUUUGCCCUGAGGACCAUUUUUCUAAGAUCUCCAUUUCAGAUCUUGUUCUGCAUUUGUUUGGAUCCCCUGGGAAGCAGACAUCAAGAAGCAUGGAUUCUGAACUCCAGCAGACAAUGAACAGAAACCCAAAGAUCAAUGUGUUUCUAAAGAAUUAUAUUGCUGCAGUGCUUCUAAGACUAUUUAUUAUGAGAGGCUUCACUCCUUCAAGGUUUUCAGUCAUCCACCCCUUUUGUCCAUGUCAAGAUGAAGCGGCCCCUUGUUUCUGACAAUGGACCACAUCCACAGAGCCCCUGGAUGUGCACAAAGGAGGCGGCACAUCCCGCUGUGCACACAGAGCAGCAAGUCUUGCUGUGCACACGGCCUUCUGCUGGGCGGCCACAGCACGGCCACCACUGUGUCACACACUGGCUAAGCCAGUGCCACACAGGGGACAGAGCCGCUAGGCCGGCCCAUUGCCCUCGAUGGGAGAACACACUUAAAAUACACAGUCUAAGACUAAACUCCUGAGCCAUAGUACACAACAGAAUUCCAUAUUUCAAAUAUUUUCCAAAAAUGUUGAUGGUAGCAGUGUAAGAAGAAAAGAAAAAUCAUCACACAGUAUUUUUUCCUGCUUUUAAUAGAAUAUAGCUGCUGCAGCUAGGCACUUCUCUGUGCUCCAUCUGCACAAAUCUCUUUCAUCAUUUCUCAUGCUGCCCUGUAAUUUUUAAGCAAAUGUUUGUCUCCUCUAUUAGCCUAUAAACUCCUCAUGGGCACAUAUGAUAUCUUUCCCAUUCAUUGGUUUCUACUACUUUUUAUUUAAAUUUGCAAAACUAAUAUUUGGACACGGUUAACAAAAAUCACUCCAGAAGUAUAUGUAAUCAAACAGACCUCUUCUUCCUGCUCUAUCUUUUCUCUGAAAGCAACUAUGAUUGAUUUGUGUAUGUCCUUCAAGAAGACACUUUUGGGGAUGAUGGAUGUAUUCAUUAUCUUUAUUAUCGUGAUGGUUUCAUGAGUGGGUAAAUAUCAUUUUAUCAAGUUGUAUACUUUGUGCUGCUGUACAUAUGUGUUAAUAUAUGUGUGUGUGUAUAUAUAUAAAAGCUGUAUAUAUGUAUUGCUUUCUAUAGGUUAAUUAUAACUUAAUAAAGCUGGAAAAAAUUAUAGGCACAGUGGAAAGUUCAAGAGCUUUGGAGUCAGACAAAUGUGGCAUCAAAGCCCUGACAUAUUCUGCAUAUUAGCUAUGUGACCUUGGGCAAGUUACUCAACCUCUCUGAGCUUUAGUUUCUUCAUCUGUAGGACAAUGACAAUAAGGC